UAUGUGAUCGUCUCUCGCAUAUCAAUAAGCGGAGGAAAAGAAACUAACAAGGAUUCCCCUAGUAACGGCGAGUGAAGCGGGAAGAGCUCAAAUUUGAAAUCUUAAAGGGUUUCCCUUUACGAAUUGUAGUUUAAAGAAGUGUUUUCUGUUGAGGUUUUGGUAAAAGUUCUUUGGAAUAGGACAUCAUAGAGGGUGAGAAUCCCGUAUUUGACCUUUACUUUCAACUUUGUGAUACACUUUCAAAGAGUCGGAUUGUUUGGGAAUGCAGUCCAAAAUGGGUGGUAAAUUUCAUCUAAAGCUAAAUAUUGGCGAGAGACCGAUAGCGAACAAGUACCGUGAGGGAAAGAUGAAAGGAACUUUGAAAAGAGAGUUAAACAGUACGUGAAAUUGUCAAAAGGGAAGCGUUUGACUACCAGUGUUGUUUUUCUGAAAAUCAAUUAAAGAACUGUUUAUGCUAAGCUGUUUAGACUUUAUCAGCUAUCUGUUUAGUUUUGAGCUUUUCUUUAAUGCACUUUCAGUUAACAAGUCAACAUCAAUUUCUUUUGCUGUAAAAAAGCUUGAGGAAGGUGGCUUGAGAUUCGUCUUAAGUGUUUAUAGCCUCUUGCCUAUGCAGUCGGAGAGAUUGAGGUCUGCAGCGUAGAUCCUUCGGGGCUAAAUGCAUUUGUGCUAAGUUAUAGCAUUUUAUAGACAACUUGUUGACUAUGAUUUGUCUUGUAGCUUACUCGCUUAUGUUAUUUUACCUACGCUUAGGAUGUUGAGUAGCGACAUACGCAC
rnacentral:rRNA from 1 species